rnacentral:snRNA from 1 species
UCAGCGGACUGCUCGAGCUG